GACGAACCGUGCGAACGUUGUUCGGAAUCACUGGGCUUAAAGGGCGCGUAGGCGGGCCCGCAAGUCAGGGGUGAAAUCCCACGGCUCAACCGUGGAAGUGCCUUUGAUACUGCGGGUCUCGAGGGAGGUAGGGGCGUGCGGGAACUUCCGGUGUAGCGGUGAAAUGCGCAGAUAUCAGGAAGAACACCCGUGGCGAAGGCGGCUCUCUGGGACGGUACUGACGCUGAGACGCGAAAGCGUGGGGAGCGAACAGG
rnacentral:rRNA from 1 species